rnacentral:rRNA from 1 species
CAGCUAGCUUAUUCACUAACAUAACCAAACAAUAUAAAUAAAAUAGAAUAAACCAAAUACCAAAAACUAAACCAUUCUUUUACCUGAGUAUGGGAGACAGAAAAGGUUCGACCAAAGCGAUAGAAAUAGUACCGCAAGGGAAAGCUGAAAGAGAAAUGAAACAACCCAUAUAAGUAAUAAAAAGCAAAGAUUAAACCUUGUACCUUUUGCAUCAUGAUUUAGCCAGUAAACACAAGCAAAGAGACCUUUAGUUUGAAACCCCGAAACCAGGUGAGCUACCCCGAGACAGCCUAUUAAGGGCCAACCCGUCUCUGUGGCAAAAGAGUGGGAAGAGCUCCGGGUAGAAGUGACAGACCUACCGAACCUGGUGAUAGCUGGUUGCCUAAGAAAUGAAUAGAAGUUCAGCCUCGUACACCUCAAAUCAAACAAGCACUAACCAAGAUAUCGAGAGAAAAAUACGAGAGUUAGUUGAAGGGGGUACAGCCCCUUUAACAAAGGAUACAACCUUAUCCAGGAGGAUAAAGAUCAUAAUAUAUAAAAUAUACUGUUCUAGUGGGCCUAAGAGCAGCCACCUAAACAGAAAGCGUUAAAGCUCAGACAGAAAGAAGUUUAUUAUUCUGAUAAAAAAUCUUACUCCCCUAAAUACUAUUAGGCUAAUCCAUGCCCCCAUGGAAGAAAUUAUGCUAAAAUGAGUAACAAGAAGGCUCGCCCUUCUCCCAGCACAAGUGUAAGCCAAACCGGACCAACCAUUGGCAAUUAACGAACUCAACCCAAGAGAGCAAUGUGAACCAUAAAAAAACCAAGAAAAACCCACACUUAACAAUCGUUACUCCCACACUGGAGUGCUAUCUAAAGGAAAGACUAAAAGAAAAGGAAGGAACUCGGCAAACACAAGCCUCGCCUGUUUACCAAAAACAUCGCCUCCUGCAACACAACCAUGUAUAGGAGGUCCAGCCUGCCCAGUGACUACAAGUUCAACGGCCGCGGUAUUUUGACCGUGCAAAGGUAGCGCAAUCACUUGUCUUUUAAAUAGAGACCUGUAUGAAUGGCUAAACGAGGGCUUAACUGUCUCCCCUUUCAAGUCAGUGAAAUUGAUCUGCCCGUGCAGAAGCG